rnacentral:lncRNA from 1 species
GGGUAAUCUCCAAACAUAACAAAAACCAAAGUAAAAGAUAAUCUAGACUGACACAACUAAGCCUAGAUCAGAGCCGACUAAACAUCUAAACACCGAUAUCGGAGAAAGCUCCAGAUAUCCACCAAGCACAAGAACUCACCAAGCAACUAAACCUGCACAACGUCUACUCAUCCAUACAGAUAGGCAGGCGGUCCAUAACAGAUCCACUGGGGGUAAGUAUUACAUUAUCAUAAUCCAAAU